rnacentral:rRNA from 1 species
UACGUAGGGCGCAAGCGUUGUCCGGAAUUAUUGGGCGUAAAGAGCUCGUAGGCGGUUUGUCGCGUCUGCUGUGAAAUCCUCAGGCUCAACUUGGGGCGUGCAGUGGGUACGGGCAGACUAGAGUGCGGUAGGGGAGACUGGAAUUCCUGGUGUAGCGGUGGAAUGCGCAGAUAUCAGGAGGAACACCGAUGGCGAAGGCAGGUCUCUGGGCUGACACUGACGCUCAUGCACGAAAGCGUGGGGAGCAAACAGG